CAAAAGGCUUCUUUAAAGAAGAGGUCAUGACUGGACCUCUUCAAUGCUUGUUACUUCUCUCCCAGGAGAGGCUAUAGGAAGAUUCAGAAUAUUCCCCUGCUCAGAAGUUACCAGCUGUUAGAAAAAGGAUUUAAGAUUAUGAGACUGACGCACUGCCCACUGUGCUAAGAGGGCAACAGAGACACAAAAAACCCUUCAAAAAAUCAAUGAAUCCAGGGGCUGGUUUUUUGAAAAGAUCAACAAAACUGAUAGACCACUAGCAAGACUAAUAAAGAAGAAAAAAGAGAAGAAUCAAAUAGAUGCAAUAAAAAAUGAUAAAGGGGAUAUCACCACCGAUCCCACAGAAAUACAAACUACCAUCAGAGAAUAUUAUAAAUAUCUCUAUGCAAAUAAACUAGAAAAUCUAGAAGAAAUGGAUAAAUUCCUGGACAUAUACACCCUCCCAAGACUAAACCAGAAAGAAGUUGAAUCCCUGAAUAGACCAAUAACAGGCUCUGAAAUUGAGGCAGUAAUUAAUAGCCUACCAACCAAAAAAGUCCAGGAC
rnacentral:lncRNA from 10 species